rnacentral:rRNA from 1 species
CAGAUGACCCCGCGGAAUCGCAUGGUUCCGCGGGCAAAGUUCCGGCGGUCUGGGAUCGGCCCAUGUCCUAUCAGCUAGUUGGCGGGGUAACGGCCCACCAAGGCAUCGACGGGUACCGGGUGUGAGAGCACGACCCGGCACAUCGGAACUGAGACACUGUCCGGACACCUACGGGUGGCUGUAGCAACGAAUAUUCCGCAAUGGGCGAAAGCCUGACGGAGCGACGCCGCGUGCAGGAAGAAGGCGCUUUGCGUCGUAAACUGCUGUCAGGGGCUAGGAAGAUCUGACCAGCCCCAAAGGAAGCCUCGGCUAACUCCGUGCCAGCAGCCGCGGUAAUACGGAGGAGGCGAACGUUGUUCGGAAUCACUGGGCUUAAAGGGCGUGUAGGCGGAACGGUAGGCGUCUCGUGAAAGCCCCCGGCUCAACCGGGGAACUGCGGGGCGAACCCCGA